GCUAGAGACCGGCGCACGGGUGCGUAACGCGUAUGCAAUCUACCUUUUACAGAGGGANAGCCCAGAGAAAUUUGGAUUAAUACCUCAUAGUAUAUAGCCCUGGCAUCAGGAUUAUNUUAAAGUCACAACGGNAAAAGAUGAGCAUGCGUCCCAUUANCUAGUUGGUAAGGUAACGGCUUACCAAGGCUACGAUGGGUAGGGGUCCNGAGAGGGAGAUCCCCCACACUGGUACUGAGACACGGACCAGACUCCUACGGGAGGCAGCAGUGAGGAAUAUUGGACNAUGGGCGCAAGCCUGAUCCAGCCAUGCCGCGUGCAGGAUGACGGUCCUAUGGAUUGUAAACUGCUUUUGUACGAGAAGAAACAUCCCGACGUGUCGGGACUUGACGGUAUCGUAAGAAUAANGAUCGGCUAACUCCGUGCCAGCAGCCGCGGUAAUACGGAGGAUCCAAGCGUUAUCCGGAAUCAUUGGGUUUAAAGGGUCCGUAGGCGGUUUAAUAAGUCAGUGGUGAAAGCCCAUCGCUCAACGGUGGAACGGCCAUUGAUACUGUUAGACUUGAAUUAUUAGGAAGUAACUAGAAUAUGUAGUGUAGCGGUGAAAUGCUUAGAGAUUACAUGGAAUACCAAUUGCGAAGGCAGGUUACUACUAAUUGAUUGACGCUGAUGGACGANAGCGUGGGUAGCGAACAGGAUUAGAUACCCUGGUAGUCCACGCCGUACACGAUGGAUACUANCUGUUGGAAGCAAUUUCAGUGGCUAAGCGAAAGUGAUAAGUAUCCCACCUGGGGAGUACGUUCGCNAGAAUGAAACUCAAAGGAAUUGACGGGGGCCCGCACAAGCGG
rnacentral:rRNA from 1 species